GGACUUCAGAUUAGACAGCACCAUAAACUCUAUGUGGCUGCAAUUAAGGAACAGCACCAUAAACUCUAUGUGGCUGCAAUUAAGGAAGAAGUAAGAGCUCUGUCACAACUGAAGAAGGAUUUGCGGAUAUAAUAGUAGAGAAGGGAGGAUUCUACAAUGAAGAAAGAAGCUUGGUUGAAUUUGCUGCCUGAGGAAACACAUUGCUUCAAAUAGAGAUCCGGAUAAAGAGGUGGUUUGAUUCUAGUGGAUCCACAAAAUAAAGUUUAUGAGGUGCUGUACGGUUGUUUCUCUUUUAUUUUGUGUUAUGUUUUUUUCUAUGUCUUUCUCUCGUUUGUUUGACGAGUUUGUUUCCUCUUGUUUCUUUUGGCGAGUUCCUUUUUUUUAAUAAGUGUGAACCAUAUAAGUUGGUCAUGGCGUAUGUAAACUUCAUCUUGGGUGACAAAGAUGACAAUGAAAAAGAGCAUCUGUAGCUUAGCUCGAUGGAUAUAUUGUCAAUGAACGACAAAUGGAAAACAUAUACUCAGGUGGUGUGUAAGACUUUUCAACCAAAGUUAGUCUUGACUACGUUUGAUCGAUUCUUCAAUGAUAUUAAAGAAGCUUUAAGUUCUUCCAACGAAUUCAGCUUCAAAUUUAUGAAAUAGUCUGCGAAUCAAGUUCUUUGUAGCAUUGCUAGGAAAGUUGUUUCUAUGUUUGACUGUAAGGAAUGGUAUACCGUUCCAUCGAUUAUAUUUGUAAACACUUCAGCUUAUGAUUAAAUGAAUGAGCUUUUUAUUUUCAAACAA